rnacentral:rRNA from 1 species
GGCUCAGGAUGAACGCUAGCUACAGGCUUAACACAUGCAAGUCGAGGGGCAGCAUUUUAGUUUGCUUGCAAACUGAAGAUGGCGACCGGCGCACGGGUGAGUAACACGUAUCCAACCUGCCGAUAACUCCGGAAUAGCCUUUCGAAAGAAAGAUUAAUACCGGAUAGCAUACGAAUAUCGCAUGAUAUUUUUAUUGAAGAAUUUCGGUUAUCGAUGGGGAUGCGUUCCAUUAGUUUGUUGGCGGGGUAACGGCCCACCAAGACUACGAUGGAUAGGGGUUCUGAGAGGAAGGUCCCCCACAUUGGAACUGAGACACGGUCCAAACUCCUACGGGAGGCAGCAGUGAGGAAUAUAGGUCAAUGGGCGAGAGCCUGAACCAGCCAAGUAGCGUGAAGGAUGAAGGCUCUAUGGGUCGUAAACUUCUUUUAUAUGGGAAUAAAGUUUUCCACGUGUGGAAUUUUGUAUGUACCAUAUGAAUAAGGAUCGGCUAACUCCGUGCCAGCAGCCGCGGUAAUACGGAGGAUCCGAGCGUUAUCCGGAUUUAUUGGGUUUAAAGGGAGCGUAGGUGGAUUGUUAAGUCAGUUGUGAAAGUUUGCGGCUCAACCGUAAAAUUGCAGUUGAAACUGGCAGUCUUGAGUACAGUAGAGGUGGGCGGAAUUCGUGGUGUAGCGGUGAAAUGCUUAGAUAUCACGAAGAACUCCGAUUGCGAAGGCAGCUCACUAGACUGUCACUGACACUGAUGCUCGAAAGUGUGGGUAUCAAACAGGAUUAGAUACCCUGGUAGUCCACACAGUAAACGAUGAAUACUCGCUGUUUGCGAUAUACAGUAAGCGGCCAAGCGAAAGCAUUAAGUAUUCCACCUGGGGAGUACGCCGGCAACGGUGAAACUCAAAGGAAUUGACGGGGGCCCGCACAAGCGGAGGAACAUGUGGUUUAAUUCGAUGAUACGCGAGGAACCUUACCCGGGCUUAAAUUGCAACAGAAUAUAUUGGAAACAGUAUAGCCGUAAGGCUGUUGUGAAGGUGCUGCAUGGUUGUCGUCAGCUCGUGCCGUGAGGUGUCGGCUUAAGUGCCAUAACGAGCGCAACCCUUAUCUUUAGUUACUAACAGGUUAUGCUGAGGACUCUAGAGAGACUGCCGUCGUAAGAUGUGAGGAAGGUGGGGAUGACGUCAAAUCAGCACGGCCCUUACGUCCGGGGCUACACACGUGUUACAAUGGGGGGUACAGAAGGCCGCUACCUGGUGACAGGAUGCCAAUCCCAAAAACCUCUCUCAGUUCGGAUCGAAGUCUGCAACCUGACUUCGUGAAGCUGGAUUCGCUAGUAAUCGCGCAUCAGCCAUGGCGCGGUGAAUACGUUCCCGGGCCUUGUACACACCGCCCGUCAAGCCAUGAAAGCCGGGGGUACCUGAAGUACGUAACCGCAAGGAGCGUCCUAGGGUAAAACUGGUA